rnacentral:rRNA from 1 species
GGGAAACUGCCUGAUGGAGGGGGAUAACUACUGGAAACGGUAGCUAAUACCGCAUAACGUCGCAAGACCAAAGAGGGGGACCUUCGGGCCUCUUGCCAUCAGAUGUGCCCAGAUGGGAUUAGCUAGUAGGUGGGGUAACGGCUCACCUAGGCGACGAUCCCUAGCUGGUCUGAGAGGAUGACCAGCCACACUGGAACUGAGACACGGUCCAGACUCCUACGGGAGGCAGCAGUGGGGAAUAUUGCACAAUGGGCGCAAGCCUGAUGCAGCCAUGCCGCGUGUAUGAAGAAGGCCUUCGGGUUGUAAAGUACUUUCAGCGGGGAGGAAGGUGUUGUGGUUAAUAACCGCAGCAAUUGACGUUACCCGCAGAAGAAGCACCGGCUAACUCCGUGCCAGCAGCCGCGGUAAUACGGAGGGUGCAAGCGUUAAUCGGAAUUACUGGGCGUAAAGCGCACGCAGGCGGUCUGUCAAGUCGGAUGUGAAAUCCCCGGGCUCAACCUGGGAACUGCAUUCGAAACUGGCAGGCUAGAGUCUUGUAGAGGGGGGUAGAAUUCCAGGU